UGUUAUUUUUGGUUGUUUGUUUUAGUUUUGCUGAUCUUUUCUUAUAUCUGUUUCUGCCCUGGUCUUUGUUAUUUCCUUCCUAACUUUGGGCUGAGUUCCAGCUCCUCGAGUUUGCUGGGCUUGCUCUGUUAUGAACCCUCCCUACGCUCAGAGCUGUUCUUGCUGGCUCCCAUGGAAGUCAUGUGAUGGUUACUCUUGAUUGUCCCUUGAUGUGAUGUACAAAUCACCACAGAAACAAACAUCUGGCCACGUCUGUGAGGAAACUUCUUCACUGAAAUAAAUGAGUUCUCACAGAGAUGCCAAGGCAGCUUAGUAUUCUUCCAUGGAGUGCCUGCUGUUCCCUGGAAACCAUGUCUGCAAAGAGCUAAGCCACAUGGCCAUAGUGAGACAUGGCACUCCCUGAGAUGGACUCCUGCAGGCGGGACAGGUGGAGAGGAGCAAAGCUGGAAGAGAAACUCAAGCAUUCACAAGCCAGUGAAGAGCACAAGGAAUAUUCCCCUUUGAAGUCGCCCGUGAAAUAGGACAGUUUUAGGCUUGCCGUCACUAGAUUUGCCUUGCCUUGAAAGCAAUGUGAUUAACAUCUGACUGUGAUGUGUCUGGUCACCUUCACAUAAACAGAAAGUUCAUAUUAACUCCAGAGAUUUCUUUAGUAGCUGUUAGUGCAGGAUUUCCAAAGGUUCUCAACUAAGAAUGGGCCUCAAAACUGUUAGCUUUGCUUACUUAAAGUGCAUGACAAUAUUUUUGUUUACUUAAAGCAAAUGACAAUAAUGCUCACACAAAGCCCAGUGUUUGUGAGUCAAAUACAAAACUUCUCUUUCUCUAUGUGUGUGCAUAUAGACAUUUAUAAAUGCAUAUAUAAGUAUCCCUAUAGAAUCACAUUAAACCCAUCACUUUUCUUGUUUCUUACCCUUGGGACCAGCUAAUCUUCUUGUAAAGAAUCAUCACCAAGAAGUAGUCACUUGCAGAACGUUGAUAACAAUUUCAAAUGUUCAUGCCUAAGGGAGGGAGACUGAUUCUCUAGAAACAAAUUUUUCUACAGCACCGAGCAGCCAAAAUGGUUCCUUUCAUGUAGUUAUAGUACCAGAAGCAAGAGAAAGCUCAAUUCUUCCAUCUUGAAAAAAUGAAUGUGCUACUCUUUUUAUAUUUUUGUAGGGGUCUAUUGCAGUCCCCUAGAGUUAUCUUAAUAGUGGCAAGAAAUCAUACAUGGAGUGCUAUGAUUUCAAAUGGGCAUGACAAGGGUUGAAAAAAUAGGUUCCCCUGGGGGCUCCUAGAGCUGGGAGAAUAGGAUUCCCUUGACAAAUCAUGGACAUCUGUUGCAUCUCUGCAGUUUCUGGAAGAAGUACGAACAAGAUUAGGGUGGACUCAUAGGGAGUUGUUUGGAGUCUUCUACCUACACUUUAAUAGGAUGUGUGAGAAACAUCUGCCUAUGGACCAGACAUUUAUUGCAUUAAAAUUACCCAAUUACCCAAUAGAGUGACUCUGCCCAUCUAUGACUUACUGGUUUAUCUCCCAGUGUCUCUGUUUCGGCACACGGGUAAGAUGACAGGUGGCAUGAUGUUCACUUUUGGUGUGUGACCUUUUCUGUUGUGAGGAAACUGGGGUUGCAUGCACAAAAGCUCUGGAUAAAGUUUCAACAGUGAAUAAACUGGUCAUAGUUCACACCAGUAAUAGUAGUACUUAGAAGGCAGAGGUAGGGAAUCAAAAAUCCAUGUUUGUUCUUGGCUACAUGAGUUUUAGACCAGUCUGGGAUACAUGAGACCAUUUAUAAAUAAAGGCUAGGAAUUCCA